rnacentral:rRNA from 1 species
CAGCAGCCACGGUAAUACGAAGGGUGCAAGCGUUACUCGGAAUUACUGGGCGUAAAGCGUGCGUAGGUGGUUGUUUAAGUCUGCUGUGAAAGCCCUGGGCUCAACCUGGGAAUUGCAGUGGAUACUGGGCGACUAGAGUAAGGUAGAGGAUAGUGGAAUUUCCGGUGUAGCAGUGAAAUGCGUAGAGAUCGGAAGGAACAUCUGUGGCGAAGGCGACUAUCUGGGCCAUUACUGACACUGAGGCACGAAAGCGUGGGGAGCAAACAGGAUUAGAUACCCCCGUAUCCCUGUCUCUUAUACA